GACGAACGCUGGCGGCGUGCCUAAUACAUGCAAGUAGAACGCUGAAGGAGGAGCUUGCUCUUCUGGAUGAGUUGCGAACGGGUGAGUAACGCGUAGGUAACCUGCCUGGUAGCGGGGGAUAACUAUUGGAAACGAUAGCUAAUACCGCAUAAUAGUAGAUGUUGCAUGACAUUUGCUUAAAAGGUGCAAUUGCAUCACUACCAGAUGGACCUGCGUUGUAUUAGCUAGUUGGUGAGGUAACGGCUCACCAAGGCAACGAUACAUAGCCGACCUGAGAGGGUGAUCGGCCACACUGGGACUGAGACACGGCCCAGACUCCUACGGGAGGCAGCAGUAGGGAAUCUUCGGCAAUGGACGGAAGUCUGACCGAGCAACGCCGCGUGAGUGAAGAAGGUUUUCGGAUCGUAAAGCUCUGUUGUAAGAGAAGAACGAGUGUGAGAGUGGAAAGUUAC
rnacentral:rRNA from 1 species